rnacentral:lncRNA from 1 species
AAAACCAAAAUGUUUGAAACAAAACACGAGUUACUGAAUUGACCGAGUUAGUGGAAUGAGUCUUCUUCCCCAGCUGAGACAAAGCGAUCUCUCUACUACGGUUUAAGAACCAAAGGAAAAUUCAUCGUCUCACCGAUCUCGAUGGUUUCUAUAUCAAAUCUCCGAGACAUCUUCUACGGUCUAAGGCUAUCUCCAAUGGUUGGGGCUUUAAAAGAGGUUGAUAGAGCCUCGUUUAGGGCUCUGAUGGAAUCUUUGAGGCUCUAAAGGAAUCACUCUCACAAUAAAAAGGCUCUAUAUCUGGAGCUCUAUAUUCGAUAUAAUUCUAUAUACAUGUUAUUUUUAAAAUAAAAAAAUUUAUUUGCUUUAAUGUUUAUUAUAGCAUGUUAGUUUUUUGUGUGUGAACAUUUCAAAAAAAAAAAAAUCAAAAAAUCAAAAAUUGGACAAGAUGUGAAAAUCUUUUCUAUGAAAAAAACUUGAUUGUUGCCUUGAAAAAAAACAAAGCUUCAUCCGUUAAAAAACACAAAAACAAACCCAUCUAGCCCAUCCCCUCUCAUUGGUCACAUUAAAUAAAAUAUAAAACAAAGAGAAGCAAUCAUUGGUCAAGAAGAUAGUAUCAUGAGCUGCAGUCACAAGGCAACUCACCAACAACACAUAUGGGUUGGCAACUUUUUAUUUAUGUGGGCCCCAUUCGGUUUUAGGGGCCAUGAACAUAAAUCUGGGUAUAGCUCUGGUGGGGCUCAAUCAUUUAAGGCCCCAAAACUGAACCACUGGGGAUGACUUUUUUGCUUCAAUUGUUAUAUAUUGCAGCCUAAGGGUGGUGCAGCCCACUUUAGAGCCCCCAUUGGGGAUGGCCUAAUGGGUUGGGAGCAACAUGGUUGAUGGAUGUGUGGGGCUAAAUUGGCGGUGGGUCCUUAAUUGGUGAUUUUUAAAAAGUUUGAGUCUUUAAUUUACGACUUUUUAUCACAAAAAGUUUCUGAGGUUAACAAAACUAUCAAAUUGCAUCCUUUUUAUUUUUUGGUGUCAUUCGUGGUCCUCAACGUUAACAUGGGUGCUCACAAAUAGUCCUUGUAGUUAACUUCAUCCAAAAAUGUGUUAAAUUGCUGACAUGGCAUACAUGUUGGACUCACAUAUCCAAUGAAAUGAUGCCACAUGGAUUAUUUUAAAAAUAUAUAUUUCAAAAAUAAUUUUAAAUUUAUAAACCAAAGAAAACUAAUAAUAAAAUAAACCAAAAUUAUUACAAACCAAAAAAAAAAAAAAAACCACUAGCUUCAUCGCAUGCCUCUCUCUCUCUCUGGCCUAACCCUAACCCCCAGUUCCCCUUCCUCACGAUAAUAAUCAAGGACUAUGGUUAUGAAUUGAUGCUGAUUUAUUGAUUAUUGAUGAUGAAGGAAAAUAUUAUUUUUUUCCUUGAAUUUGAAUCAUCAAACUGUCCAACCAUGGUAGGCAUAGGCAUAUCAGCGGUGGUGGUUGGGGUGGGCAG